rnacentral:rRNA from 1 species
AUUGAACGCUGGCGGCAUGCCUUACACAUGCAAGUCGAACGGUAACAGGUUAAGCUGGCGAGUGGCGAACGGGUGAGUAAUGUAUCGGAACGUGCCCAGUCGUGGGGGAUAACUGCUCGAAAGAGCAGCUAAUACCGCAUACGACCUGAGGGUGAAAGCGGGGGAUCGCAAGACCUCGCGCGAUUGGAGCGGCCGAUAUCAGAUUAGGUAGUUGGUGAGGUAAAGGCUCACCAAGCCGACGAGCUGUAGCUGGUCUGAGAGGACGCCCAGCCACACUGGGACUGAGACACGGCCCAGACUCCUACGGGAGGCAGCAGUGGGGAAUUUUGGACAAUGGGCGCAAGCCUGAUCCAGCCAUGCCGCGUGCGGGAAGAAGGCCUUCGGGUUGUAAACCGCUUUUGUCAGGGAAGAAAAGGUUCUGGCUAAUACCUGGGACUCAUGACGGUACCUGAAGAAUAAGCACCGGCUAACUACGUG